CCUACGGGAGGCAGCAGUGAGGAAUAUUGGUCAAUGGGAGAGAUCCUGAACCAGCCAAGCAGCGUGAGGGAAGACGGCCCUAUGGGUUGUAAACCUCUUUUGUCGGAGAAUAAAACCUGGGACGUGUCCCGGAUUGUGUGUAUCCGAAGAAAAAGCAUCGGCUAACUCCGUGCCAGCAGCCGCGGUAAUACGGAGGAUGCGAGCGUUAUCCGGAUUUAUUGGGUUUAAAGGGUGCGUAGGUGGUCCGUUAAGUCAGUGGUAAAAUUGCGGGGCUCAACCCCGUCGAGCCGUUGAAACUGGCAGUCUUGAGUUGACUAGAAGUACGCGGAAUGCGCGGUGUAGCGGUGAAAUGCAUAGAUAUCGCGCAGAACUCCGAUUGCGAAGGCAGCUUACCGGCGCCAGACUGACGCUGAGGCACGAAAGCGUGGGUAUCGAACAGGAUUAGAUACCCCAGUAGUC
rnacentral:rRNA from 1 species